GUGCUCACUUUGGCAGCACAUAGACUAAAAUUGGAACGAUGUAGAGAAGAAUAGCAUGGCCCCUGUGCAAGAAUGACACGCAAACUCGUGAAUCGUUCAAGAUUAUU
ensembl:snRNA U6 U6 spliceosomal RNA